rnacentral:rRNA from 1 species
CAGGCUUAACACAUGCAAGUCGAGGGGCAGCAUGGUCUUAGCUUGCUAAGGCCGAUGGCGACCGGCGCACGGGUGAGUAACACGUAUCCAACCUGCCGUCUACUCUUGGACAGCCUUCUGAAAGGAAGAUUAAUACAAGAUGGCAUCAUGAGUCCGCAUGUUCACAUGAUUAAAGGUAUUCCGGUAGACGAUGGGGAUGCGUUCCAUUAGAUAGUAGGCGGGGUAACGGCCCACCUAGUCUUCGAUGGAUGGGGGUUCUGAGAGGAAGGUCCCCCACAUUGGAACUGAGACACGGUCCAAACUCCUACGGGAGGCAGCAGUGAGGAAUAUUGGUCAAUGGGCGAGAGCCUGAACCAGCCAAGUAGCGUGAAGGAUGACUGCCCUAUGGGUUGUAAACUUCUUUUAUAAAGGAAUAAAGUCGGGUAUGCAUACCCGUUUGCAUGUACUUUAUGAAUAAGGAUCGGCUAACUCCGUGCCAGCAGCCGCGGUAAUACGGAGGAUCCGAGCGUUAUCCGGAUUUAUUGGGUUUAAAGGGAGCGUAGAUGGAUGUUUAAGUCAGUUGUGAAAGUUUGCGGCUCAACCGUAAAAUUGCAGUUGAUACUGGAUAUCUUGAGUGCAGUUGAGGCAGGCGGAAUUCGUGGUGUAGCGGUGAAAUGCUUAGAUAUCACGAAGAACUCCGAUUGCGAAGGCAGCCUGCUAAGCUGCAACUGACAUUGAGGCUCGAAAGUGUGGGUAUCAAACAGGAUUAGAUACCCUGGUAGUCCACACGGUAAACGAUGAAUACUCGCUGUUUGCGAUAUACGGCAAGCGGCCAAGCGAAAGCGUUAAGUAUUCCACCUGGGGAGUACGCCGGCAACGGUGAAACUCAAAGGAAUUGACGGGGGCCCGCACAAGCGGAGGAACAUGUGGUUUAAUUCGAUGAUACGCGAGGAACCUUACCCGGGCUUAAAUUGCAGAUGAAUUACGGUGAAAGCCGUAAGCCGCAAGGCAUCUGUGAAGGUGCUGCAUGGUUGUCGUCAGCUCGUGCCGUGAGGUGUCGGCUUAAGUGCCAUAACGAGCGCAACCCUUGUUGUCAGUUACUAACAGGUUCCGCUGAGGACUCUGACAAGACUGCCAUCGUAAGAUGUGAGGAAGGUGGGGAUGACGUCAAAUCAGCACGGCCCUUACGUCCGGGGCUACACACGUGUUACAAUGGGGGGUACAGAGGGCCGCUACCACGCGAGUGGAUGCCAAUCCCAAAAACCUCUCUCAGUUCGGACUGGAGUCUGCAACCCGACUCCACGAAGCUGGAUUCGCUAGUAAUCGCGCAUCAGCCACGGCGCGGUGAAUACGUUCCCGGGCCUUGUACACACCGCCCGUCAAGCCAUGGGAGCCGGGGGUACCUGAAGUGCGUAACCGCGAGGAGCGCCCUAGGGUAAAACUGGUGACUGGGGC